GAUGCCCACCAAUAUUAAAGAUCUUCUAUAAAUAGCAGUUUGUGCUAAAUGCAGUGUAAUUCACUCUGUGGAAGGAAUUAGUGGUCUUACCCAUUCAAGGCUGAGAACUUACCAUCCUGUGUUCCAUAUUAGUACACUUUUUCAUUUUAUAAUCACAGAUUUCUGGUUUUGUGUCCUUCACGAUUGGUUAAAUGCUACGGGCCCUCUGACAAGAUGAAAAAAGUGAUACAUACCAUAGUAAAUAAAUGUUAUGUGAAACAGGAGGCAUAUAAUUAUGCACUAGUGUAUUAAAAUAUGGCUAGCAGUUCAAUUUAGGUACAACAAAUUGCUGUUUAAUUAGCUGCCCGUGGUUUACUCAGAAGAUGUAGAAAAAAUAAUAAAAAUCAAAAGCUGAUUUUAUUGUUAUUACUGGCUAAAUGGAAGAGCUAGGGUAUUACAGGUGAAUCUGUGUUCUUUUCCUGAUAAUUUUUGCAUGAGCAGGAUUAAAAAAUAGCUGGGAAUAUAUUUGUAAAUACACUAUGUGAUGUAAUAAGUCUAUUACACUUAAAAGGUAUGAACAAAACUUGAGAGACCAUAGCAGUAGUGCUGUUUGAACUUACAAUCUUAGCUUUGUUCUUUUUGACUAAUAUUUUCCUUUUGCUUAUGUAAAAUUGCAACAGAAUAAAUCCAAUGCAUAUGGACUUCACAUGAUGAAGUUGAGCCACUGCAGAAAUUAUUCUAAUCAGAUAGCAUAAAAUAGCGGUAAGGAAGACAGUGGGCUUUGAGCAGUAGAUAAAGAAAAGCUCAGAUGGAUUCAAAAUUAAAUAAAGCUUCUUCUUUUCUAGCUCAGGCUGAGAGAAAGCAUGGACCUAAGGAAUUUAAAUCAACGCCUAAACCCGAAUUGCAAACUCAAAACAUACUGGCUUCUAAUGAAAUACACCCACUUCCUUCUGGAUCCAGAAUCUUUGAUGCUCCAAAAAGUCCGUUGACACAACUUGCUACUCAGAGUCCAACCUUGAAAUCUGUAUUUCUACCUUCAGCAGAAACCAGAAAGAUGGAGAUAGCUUUUGAUGAAACACAGCCUGUUUCUUCGAGAUUCAAAACAUCUGGUACCACAGAAGUGCAACCAACCAAGUCUGCUUCAUACGGUUUUCUUCAUGUUACUUCUACUCAAACUUUUACAGCUUCAGAAAUACCAGACACUGCUGGAUAUACUACUGAUCUGGAGAUAACCAUGCCUGUAGUUACCACAGAACCUCAUUUGUUAGAAACAACAUUGGAUUUAGGUGAAACGAAGCCUUUUUCUUCAAGAUCCAUAACAUCUGGCAUGCCAGAAAUGCCACCAGUCUCAGCUGCUACUCAGAGACCAAAGGUGAAGCCUUCUCCUCCUUCCAUUGCAAUCCAAGGGACAGUGGAGGCGACCCAGAGACGGGCUCCGGAAUCCACCUCGUCUGCUUCACCGGAAACCACGAGGACUGUGAUGGCUUCGAAUAACCUUCUUCAUGUUACUUCCACUUCCCAAAUAUCUGCAUCUGCAAAAAUGUCAGAGACAGAGACUGCUACCCAGGAGCCAGGCCUGGAAUUCACAUCUCUUCCCUCCAUGGAAACCACAGAGAGCGUGAUGGAUUUUAUUUCAGCUUUUGAUGAAAAGCAGCCUGUUUCUUCAAGAUCUGAAACAUCUGGCAUCCAAGAAAUGCUGUCAGCUGUACCUGGUAAUAGUUGAAAAUG
rnacentral:lncRNA from 1 species